AUGAAUAGACAAAACAUUACAAAAGACACUCUAUUGCAUAUGAAAAGACACAUAAUUAUAAAAGAGACACUUAUUGAGAUAUUUUAACAACUAAUUGAAAAUUAAUUUGUCUUUUAUAAUGAGAUGACACAAUUCUUAACACUGAGAAUUGUAUAAAGACACUUGUUGAUUAAACCAAACCGGUUAACUAUGGUGGAGAAGGAGAUCGUUAUCUGAGAGCAGUUAUUGGCGAUCAUGAUGGCGAUUGACACAAGGCCACUUUUUCUGCAAUUCUCAAGAGAGAUUUGACUUUACAUAUCUCUUUCUGGUUAUUUUUUUCUUCUUUUCAUGAUUCUCAACACCUAAACAAUUAUUUUUCUCUUUUAAAGAUCAAAAGAAACGUGAGUUUCCGUUAUGGUAUUUCACGAUUUUGUUCUUUGUGUUUUGCUCUUCUCUUUGUUAGUGGAGAAGUUCAUAUUUAUUCACAGCGAAUGGGAUGAUAAUCACUUCUUCCAAUUUGUUGUUACAAUCUCCGACAUGGUUUUUAUGGUCAUGGUCGAUGACAACACAAGACAAAUAUUUGUGUUGAAACCAGAUUCAAGCGGUAAGGAACUCAUCCUAAUCGCUUUACUCUGGAAACAAUCGCCCUGGAAGCCACCAUGGAAAAAGUAUAUCAAAGAUGGAGAGGUACAAAAUGAUGAACAUUCUCAUAAUCAUAAUUGAGAAUUGUUUAUGGUGAUGCAACCACAAAGAAUCGUUGAAGAUUGGCAGAUUUUCUUACUAUUUCUUUUCAGAGAAUCAGUAAAGAGGAUUUUCUCUGGCAGAAUACUUAUAGAUUCUAUUUGGAAUCUGGCCAAUGUUAUACAUCAAAGAAAUCUUCAAAGAAGAAUUUGGAAUUUCAUCAAAAAGAUGGUAGCCAAAUACAAAUGGUGUUACAUGAAGAGAAACAAGAUGGUUCAGAAGAAAAUUUCUUCAGUUCUUACUCUUUGUGUUGUAAUGUUUUCUAGGUUUAGUUUUGCAUUUAGUUGUAAUUCUAUUAUUUUAUAUAUUCUUGUUGUAAUUUUACAUUUUAUUUAAAUAAAAUAGUUGUUAAAAACAAAAUACACUUGUUGAUUGAGAUUUACCUACUUUGAAAAACUUUU